rnacentral:snRNA from 1 species
GGAUGUGAGGGCGAUCUGGCUGCGACAUCUGUCACCCCAUUGAUCGCCAGGGUUGAUUCGGCUGAUCUGGCUGGCUAGGCAGGUGUCCCCUUCCUCCCUCACCGCUCCAUGUGCGUCCCUCCCGAAGCUGCGCGCUCGGUCGAAGAGGACGACCAUCACUGAUAGAGGAGGACCUUUCUUCGGUCAAGGGUAUACGAGUAGCUGCGCUCCCCUGCUAGAACCUCCAAACAAGCUCUCAAAAAAGAAAGAGCACUAGUUUAGGAUAAUGGGGACCUGUAUAUUUUGGUACAUGUGAGAAGUUAGCAUUUAU